rnacentral:lncRNA from 13 species
AUGACAAGUGGUAUCACCAAGCUGGGAAUCUACAGCCUGGACAACAAGAGCCUCUAUGUCAAUGGUUACAAUGAACCCUUUGAGAGAUCCCCUCGGAGCACCACAUCUGCACCAAGAUCAACAUCCAGGAAUUUCACACUUAAUUUCACCUUGACCAACCUCCGCUACACUGCAGAUCUGGAUGACCCAAAUUCCCGCAAAUUCAAGUCCACAGUGAAAGUUAUGAACCACUACGUGAGUCUGGCUCUGCUUGUGCCCCUUUUGGGUCAUGGUGGUGACCUAAAUCUGUCUGCUUUAAACUCGCAAUGUGAUUCCCAUCUCUCAAUUGUCCCUUUUUUUUUUGACAGCUUGACCCUCUUUUCAAAAGGAGCAGCAUAAGCUCUG